rnacentral:rRNA from 1 species
GCGGUAACAGGGGUAAUUUAUUACCUGCUGACGAGCGGCGGACGGCUGAGUGACGCGUGGGAACAUGCCCCAAAGUGAGGAAUAAGCUCCAGAAAUGGAGUCUAAUGCCGCAUAUGAUCUUCGGAUUAAAGGAUUUAUCCGCUUUGGGAGUGGCCUGCGUAUGAUUAGAUAGUUGGUGAGGUAAUGGCUCACCAAGUCUACGAUCAUUAACUGGUCUGAGAGGAUGAUCAGUCAGACUGGAACUGAGACACGGUCCAGACUCCUACGGGAGGCAGCAGUGAGGAAUCUUCCACAAUGGGCGAAAGCCUGAUGGAGCGACGCCGCGUGCAG